CCUGUUACAGUUUUCGUGCUGCUUAGCACAAUAAAAAGCAUUCAAAGAGAGGCGGGCGCAAGAAAGAGAAGUGCGGUGAAGGAAGAGAUGAAAAGACAGAUGUCAGCACCGUCGUGCCCAUAGACGCCGCGAGCUGCCACCGGCGGCACAAAGACACAUGAUUAACAGCAAGGGCCGGGCAGCGCUAACUGUGCCGCUCGAUCAAAGGCAGCUGCUGAUUGAUCGUCCCCAGCCCAGGUCUGUGGCAGUCCCGGGAGGGCCCCUCCAUCUCACCCUGCUCCCUCUGAGCCGGCAGCUGCGGAGCGGGGCUGGAAGGCGGUGGGAGCUGCGGCGGUGUGUGAGCCGUGCAGAGGACCAGAUGUGCCGCGGGUCGUCUUCCACUGGUGAAGACAAGUUCUAGGCAAACUGAGCUAGCAGUAUAGCAGGUAUGAGAAGAAUGAAUACUUGGUAUCCUGCACCAGGGCCUUCCCAGAGCUGGCCGGCCUUGAAGGGAACAUUAACGAGGAGACUUCAGGGACAUCAUCAACUUGGCAAGAACACCCAUGGUCUGUGAGUCCUGAACUGAACUGCCUCCAUUAGAAUACUACAGUCACACCCACGGGUCAGAAAGACUCCUGCCUGGGUUCUUCUGGCUUGGGAGCUGAAUGCUGUGAAGAGGAAACGCUGCGCUUAUUGGGGAUGCAGCAGCUGAGUGGGACCACGUCAGGAAGGCUCGAACACAAAAAUAGCAGCCCUGCUGUUGUUCGGUUACACCCCAAUGUUUGGUUUCUUGUUUCCCUUUUUUUAAGCUCACCAUGUGUGUGCUGACUGCGCUUCUUUUGCAGUUCUGUGAAACACAAAGGUGGGGAGAGAACCAAACUUCUGUUUGUCACCCAGUCCUCUCCCUGCAGCGCCCAGAGGGAGCUGUGCCACCAUCCCCAGGAGAGAUGUGUCAGCUCCAGGAUGGAUGGUUCCUCCGGUGCCAUUCCAUGUGUCUCUUAUGAAGACCUCCUUCUCACCAGGCCAGGAAAGUCCCAGCACAUCCUAAGCAUAGCCACGGCUGCUUUACAGAGAAAAAGCUGCACUGAGUUGUGCUGGCACAGUGGCAUAUCCAUCAGCUAUUAUUUAAAUGUGUAUAAAUUCAUAGAAGAGUAAACAUAUGUUGAUAUAAAAGUCUAAAGGAGGAAAAGAAAAAGAGGACAAAAGAUAUAUUGUCAUAAGACAAAGAAAAAAGUACAAGCAUGCGAGAAGCCUUUCCGCCUGGAUGACAUAGCCACGAAGCACAGCUCCAAAGCCUCCAAAGCACUACAGUACUCAUUCCCAGCCCAGAGGUGCUGGUUACUUCAUAAGAGAUGCCCAGGAGCAAAUCCCUGCUUGGAGCAGGGGGGCAGGGCAGUGCUGCUCAACUGCUCACCGCGCCGGCUCUGCACAGCGCUGCAGCCCGCAGAAAACUUCCAUCUACUGCGGGCUGUCCAGAAACAGUGAGAACCCCAGGUGCUGAGCUCUCUGAAAGCUGGGAACAAAGCCUGAGUUAGCCAGCUCCAAAGGCAAAAUUAAUGUCACUGCUAGAAAAUAAAGCAGUGACCUUGACUACCUGCAUGAAGUGUAAGAGCGAGCUGUACUUCCUGCGCUGCCAUCUCACGGCAUUGCAGUGGGACACCAACUGAGCUCUUGCUGUGACAGUAUCAGCAAAGACAGGACCCCGCGUGGCAGGGCGGGUGUCCCAAAGCACUGGCACUUUGGGGAUGUACACGGAUGCUACAGCUCCCACGCCUGAGGAGUAAAACACACGAGCAGCACAGGCAUCCCCACAACACCAGCCGUGUACUCACCCACAGCAGUGCCACGCGAUGCUUCCAAUCCAACUGGCAGCUGCCACAGCCCCGCAAUGACAACACAGCCUACGUGCUCACAGUGACUCCAGGCCAGCUUUUCUUGUCUGAGAGACAAUAUUUUGGGGGAGAUUUUAAUUUAAAAUCACUUUGAAGGCUGGUGUGAAGAGAGAAGAGCCUUCUCUUCCUAUUUAAAAUACUCCAGAGAGGCAGUCAGCUCUUGAGAAAGAGCCGUGCCUGAAGAUCCUGUCCUGACAAGAGGAAAAUCAGAACAAACAGGACAAGGGGAGAGAGGAGACGAGGAGACAGGACGUGGAAUCACACACAGCUCAGUGCAGAGCUGCAGCCCGCGUGGGCCAAGCACCAGCAGCACUUUCUCCAGUGCUCACAGCCUCAGGUGCUGAAUGGCAGUUCAGUGUCACCAAACCAUACACAGAAGCCCAGAUCUCACUCUUGUUGCUGGGUGCUAUUUACCUGCACUCCGGGUAUUCAUUUUUCAUCCUCGCUCUCUUCUAAGAGCAAUAUCACUCCAAGUAGCUCUGCAACUGCAGGCAGCUCUCAUUCCCCACCAUCCCCUGCUUCAGGCUGCCUUGUCACACACCAAAAAAGUCAGCUGCACUGACUGCUCCCACAGCUCUGUGCACAUCACAGGCUGAAGGCCCUUCUCAGCCCCUCUCUCCUCCUUUACAAGCACACUGGAUGCCUCGUGUCUGCAGGCAGCAUGACCUGACCUCUGUAGGUCUGCACAGCACCUGACUGCCACGAGCAGCCCCACGGCCCUCCUGCAGCCACCACGCAGCACCAGCAGCCCUCUCACUUCCCGUCUGGUCAUCUGCUCAUUCUCUGCUCACUUAAAUGUGUGUGUGGAACAGGGCAUUUUGGCAGAGGAUUUGUCUGGGGGUUUAGUUAUCUCUUGUCCCCAGACAGACAAGCAGAUAGCCCAGAAAUACUUGUAGAAAAAGGACAAAAGCUGUAUCUGGCAUUAACGGUUCCUUUCUCUUCUACAAGGCUAAGGGAAGCAGUGCUGGGAGUGGCAGUUCUUUCUCAGUCGCCAUCCCGACGGUUCCUCUAUCUCACUUCUUUAGGCUCUGGCAUCCUUCCCGUGUCCUCUUUCAUUCCUGGGUUCUUCUGAGCUGUUCCCCUGCCAGCUUUUGGCAUCCAGCUCUUGGCAUGCACUUAAGAGGAGGAAAUUGAGCUGACACUGGCAUCAGAGCCUGCUGCAGCCUAAUAGAGAACAUGCUGCAUGGGCAAGACCUGGGCCAGAACAGAGGGAGCUCUAUUUCCUGAGCAAAUCAGCAAUGUCAUUAGUUUCAUAAGCACACUUGAGGCAGCCCGGAGAAGGCAGGCAAAAUGUUGCAGUCGUUCAGCUGCAAAUAUUUUUACAGUGUUACGGGGACUCAGCAUCAACCAUUCAAGGCUUUUGCUCCAACCUACACAACAUCAAAUACUACUGAUCCACAGCUGAUUUUUUACAUAGGUGUGGUUCCGUUUGGAAUUUAAGUUACAUUUUGUACACGAGGAAAGAGGUGUUGCUCCCUAUUCCCCCAGCUGUCACUGCACAUCCAGGCCAGCUCAGCUCACAGAGUACCCAGUGGAGGACAAAUUGCCAUCAUGCACUCGAGGUCCCUUCGAGCAAAGGGCUGCUGCUGGGCAGCGCUGGGAGGGUGCUGACCCUGCUGAGGUGUUGCUGCUGACAGCCCAGGGGCCAAACCGACCCGGACUCACUGCGACGGCUGCAGUGCAUCGUGUGAGCUGUGCUUGAUGAAAGAGGUCUGCUUCUAACAGCCACGUAGACAUGGAUAUAGAACAAAAGAAUUAAUAAGUUGGUGAAACAGUGAGAACAUUUAAAUCUGCAGCUUUUCCCAGACUCUGUUCCCUGUGGCAUCGCACAGCUUCCCCAGCUUCACUUCAGAAUACCUCCCCAGCUCAGUGCCAGGUACCUGGGGCUCACAUGAAUUCCGGAUUCCCCAUGGUUAAUUCUACAGACUGUGUCCAAUGGUACCUAACCCAGGAGGCACCUCCCCUCACCCUCCAGAAAACACAUUGUAGAAUUUGUUAAGUAAUGACAGACACUUCGUCAAACAGACCAUUCAUCUCAACAUGUGAACCAGAAGGCGCAGAAGGUUUGUUUCUAAACAUGUAAAAAGUCCAUGCAGACCAGCGGUGCUUCUGGAGACUCUAUUGGCAGCUGUGGGUUGGGAAUGGAGUGGUAAUAAAAAAACCUAAGCUUUCAUCUCAUUCAUUUACUUCAUCUAUUCAAACUAACUUAGCAUGAAGGUGCAGCAGCAAGUAUAGGUGCUAUUUAGGAUUGCUUCUGUUUGUAGAUGAGGAAAGUCAGAGCAGCGCAGGAGCACAAUGUGUGCACACUCACAGCUCACCGUGUCAGAGGAUGACUUCCAGGGCUCAGAACCACUGCUUGGAAGAAGAGCAAGUCGUGGGAAACGCAGUGUGUACGUAUGGCUGUUUCCUCAUCCUGCUGCUCCCUGCACAGUGCUUGCAAAGCAAAGACUGCACUGCAAGCCAGCACCUUCCAGCACCAAGCAGGAUCGGGAUGGAUGCGGAAG
rnacentral:lncRNA from 1 species